rnacentral:lncRNA from 1 species
UGAAGAAGGAGGAAAAGGAUGCAGGAAAGAAUUUAAGAGGCAAAGUGGAUGUGAUAAAGGAACGAGAAGAUCAUGAGAAAAGAUGAAAAAGAGAACAGUGACUGACCCAUGUCAUGAAGCAUCAGUUUCUAAACUUUGCUGUAUGCAGGCUCAAUGAUGAGCAUCUCAGCAUCUCAGAGGUGAAGAAACUGGCCUAGCCACCACGUGGUGGCACUUGCAGCCUGAGUCAGCAGAUCCCCAGGCAAAUGAAGACUCUGAGAUGAAGACAGCUGAGCGCAUGAUGGGGUAGGUCAGCCUCCCUCAUGGAAAUUCUGUGUGCCUGAGGCCCACCCUUCCAGUGCAGAUGGAGGGAUGGGAUGGAAAUGAAUCUAGGGGAACGCAUCCCAGCUGUGAUCCAGCCACCUCUGCGUUUGAAGGCUGGGGGUUAUUCCCUCCUCAUGGUUGCCACGCAUUCUUAUGUUUGCAUGUCAUGCUUGGAACUGCCGCAGCCACUUUGUGACAGCCUGAGAAUGAAUCCAGCGCUAAAAUCAGUCUAGCAAAAGGAGGAGAAACACCUGGGUCUCCAUGAUGUCACUGAGCAAGUGAAUUGACCAGCUGUGAG